rnacentral:rRNA from 1 species
UACGAAGGGGCUAGCGUUGCUCGGAAUUACUGGGCGUAAAGCGCACGUAGGCGGCUUUCUAAGUCGGGGGUGAAAUCCUGGAGCUCAACUCCAGAACUGCCUUCGAUACUGGAGAGCUUGAGUCCGGGAGAGGUGAGUGGAACUGCGAGUGUAGAGGUGAAAUUCGUAGAUAUUCGCAAGAACACCAGUGGCGAAGGCGGCUCAC